UGAUGCAGCGACGCCGCGUGAGGGAUGACGGCCUUCGGGUUGUAAACUUCUUUCAGUAGGAAGAAGCGAAAGUGACGGUAACUGCAGAAGAAGCACCGGCUAACUACGUGCCAGCAGCCGCGGUAAUACGUAGGGUGCGAGCGUUAUCCGGAAUUAUUGGGCGUAAAGAGCUCGUAGGCGGUUUGUCGCGUCUGUCGUGAAAGUCCGGGGCUUAACCCCGGAUCUGCGGUGGGUACGGGCAGACUAGAGUGCAGUAGGGGAGACUGGAAUUCCUGGUGUAGCGGUGGAAUGCGCAGAUAUCAGGAGGAACACCGAUGGCGAAGGCAGGUCUCUGGGCUGUAACUGACGCUGAGGAGCGAAAGCAUGGGGAGCGAACAGGAUUAGAUACCCUGGUAGUCCAUGCCGUAAACGUUGGGCACUAGGUGUGGGGACCAUUCCACGGUUUCCGCGCCGCAGCUAACGCAUUAAGUGCCCCGCCUGGGGAGUACGGCCGCAAGGCUAAAACUCAAAGGAAUUGACGGGGGCCCGCACAAGCGGCGGAGCAUGCGGAUUAAUUCGAUGCAACGCGAAGAACCUUACCAAGGCUUGACAUGUUCUCGAUCGCCGUAGAGAUACGGUUUCCCCUUUGGGGCGGGUUCACAGGUGGUGCAUGGUUGUCGUCAGCU
rnacentral:rRNA from 1 species